ACAAUUUGAUGAAACUGCCUUGAGGAGGAUAUAUGUCUCUUUUUCUUCAAGAAAUUCUGAGGAGGGUUUAAGAAACAUAAGCGCCUCCAAGGACUCAGUGUUGUCGAAUGUGGCUGGUGGGAUUUGUACUCAAUCGGCCAAGGUUGGGCACUGAUUUUGGGUGAGAAGGUUGGUAUCCAGUUCAUCUCAAAGGUGUUCAGUGGGUUUGAGGUCAGGGCUCUUGCAGGUUACUUGAGUUCUUCCACUCCAACUUUGGCAAACCAUGCUCUCAUGGAGCUCGCUUUGUGCACAGGGGCAUUGUUUGGGCAGGUUUGGUCCUCUUGGUUCCACUGAAGGGAACUUGUAAUGCUACAGCAUACAAUAUAAAGACAUUCUAGACAAAUGUGUGCUUCCAAUUUUGUGGCAACAGUUAAGGGAAGACCCACAUAUCAGUGAGAUGGCCAGGUGUCCAUGUAAGAUUUAAUUGGUCUUAUUGGGCUUUAAUUUGAAUGUGGUGGCAUGGCGACGCAGAUGCUCCAGGGCCUCUAGUUUGAUCCUGAGCUUUGGUUAAUGUCUGUUUGGACAUUUUGUGCACAUUCUCCCCAUGUCCCUGUGGGUUCCCUCUGGGAUCUCCGGUUUCCUCCCACCUCUCAAAAACAUGGCAGUAGGUGGCUUGGCUAAUAUAAAUUGCCCCAAGGUGUGAAUGAGUGUGUAAAUGUGUGUGUGCAUGGAGCCUGUGAUGGACUGGUGUGUUAUCCAGUGUGUAUUUUCAUGCCUCAUGCCUAGUUUCCCAGGAUAGGCUCCAGAUCCACUGUGACCCUGAGCAGGACUUUCAGUGGUUACUGAAAGUGAGUGAGUAUGAGUGAGUUAUUAGAAUGAUUCAUUUUGAAUAUUCAGAUUUUUCUUUCAUCAUCAGAGUAAAAAUUAGUUACGAGAACGAUCUGAAAUGUUGUAUUCACACUUGUUCUGUGAUUAAUCUGUUCACUUAUAAUGGUAACCAAGUACAAAAUUCAACAUAUUGUUAGUAUUAGUAUAUUUCCAUCGCUUGAGAACAUAAUGUAAGCUUUAACAGAUAAGCCAAGAUCAUAUUUUCUGUGCUGUGGAUGUGCAUUACAAUGAUAGCAGGAUAGAGCGCAGAUCAGAAGGAGCACACUAUCAGUUUCAUAUUCAUUCUCCUGCCUCCCUGCAAUGUUUAUCCAUACAAAGUUCUAUAUGUUUGGAGCGCUUCCUCAGCAUGUUAUGCAGUAUUUAUUUGUCACAACCAAACCAAAAGAGACUGUUUACAUCCUAUGUUUCCGUGGAGCAGAUAAUGUGGACACAGUGUGAGCCAACAACAUGGCCGAUCAAUUCCUCAAUGCAAUUUAACAUCACAUUGAAUCCCAAAUGACUGGUUUUGUGUAUGUGAACUAAGGAACAAACCUCUCCCAAAAGCAUUCAUGAUAUGGUCAGGUGAAAAGUGUUACAUCACUGAUAUCCAACCAUCCAUUUUCUAUACUGCUUACCAUACUGGGUCACGGGGAACCUGGAGCGUAUCCCAGGGAGCAUGGGGUACAAGGCGAUGUACACCCUGGACGGGGUGCCAGUCCAUCGCAGGGCACAUUCACACAUCCAUUCAUACACUACAGACACUUUGGACAUGCCAAUCAGUCUACCAUACAUGUCUUUGGACUGGGGGACGAAAUUGGAGGACCCGGAGGAAACCCUGCAGCACGGGAAGAACAUGUAAACAGGGCUGCGGUGGGAAUUGAACCCCUAACCCUGGAUGUGUGAGGCGAACGUGCUAACCACUAAGAAUGGAAGAGCUCCCAACUGAGGGUAAUGAGCUGUCAUCCCAGGGUGCCGUACAGGAAGCGGGUGCUGACGUUCACUGGCGAUACCAGUUAUGUCACCGGCUAACAAACAUGAGUCACUGGGGAGGGAGUGAGAAAAGUGACAUCAGCUAUUGUGGCUGCAUCUGAAAGAGACACCCAGACUCAUCCAGUGUGGUUCUGAUCAGGGCAGAGAGGCUUCAUGGAGAGACUCCAGGUUAGAGGACAAGCUGAGAGUUUGUCAUAUUAACUUCAAGAGAGAGAGAGAGAGAGAGACAGAGAGAGAGAGAGAGAGAGAGAGAGAGAGAUGAGAGGCUGUGAAUAUGCCAGAACCAGAGUGUUGUUCAGCCCAUCAUGUUCCCUGACUUUAGCAGCUUUCCUGUGCUUCAGUUCUCUUCGAAGAAAACAAUGCCUGUUAUGAGUUAAUUCACAUCUGGUUUCAGUGCAGCAAAGUUAAAGCUGUUGUUGCUUAUACAUUGUGACAAAGCAAUGCCACCCAUGUGAGCAAGCUUUCAAACUGCAUUCAGUGCUUUAAUGCUGGACUGCCUCUGAGCAAAAUACAUCUGUUUGUUCAUCAUCUACUUAUGUCAUAAUUCAUUAGGUUUAAACCAAACACACAGAUGUUUGAUGCACCCGAUACUCUUCCACCUUGUAUAUCCACCAUUUCAAACAUAUAAUCAGUUGCGCAAAUUCGCUGUUUGACACUCCAUUGGUUCCCAUAUGAACCAUGGUUGGUUUGUGUCAUUUGUUUGUUGAAUCUCAAAAACAAUUAUUUGUGCAUGCCUGCAUCACUCAUUCUAAAUUUCCUUCUUAAUCUGGACAAGUGUCUUGGAAAACUUUUUAGUUGAGUGUUGAUUGUUGUAAUGUGAUUGUAUUCCAAACUGGGAACAUCCCAUCAUAUGUCAGCUGAACAUGA